CUUGGUGACGUGGCGGAAGAGGAGGAGCCCUUUCGCCAGCUCUUCAUUUUAUUUCUAAAACAAUGGCGGACAGCACAAGCGGUAGACCACGAAGCUACAGACCGUAAAUAGACGUUUCCUGGAGGUGCUGGUGCUGGUCCUCUGCUGCCCUCCCGACAUCUGGCUCCAAUGACCUCUGGCACCUCACAUCCACCUCCAGGGCCUUUAAGAAGAUGGACCGCCAUCGCGUCUUCAGUAUCCCGAAGGACCUCUCCACAACACACCUUUGACAGGCAGCAGUUGUAGCUUGGAGGUGGACAGGCUGCCUGAAGGGGUCAUGAGGCAGAUGGGUUGGGACAGGCAGGGGAGCCACCAUCCCCAAGGAUACAGUAUCCUGGUGGAGGGGAUGACUGCUCAUAGAAGAUGGGGCUGUUAUUCAGGACCCUGGCAUCAUGCACUGAGCCCGGGGCCUGUCGAGGCCCUGGCCACCACCCGAUAG